UACGUAGGGUGCGAGCGUUGUCCGGAAUUAUUGGGCGUAAAGAGCUCGUAGGCGGUGUGUCGCGUCGGCCGUGAAAACCUGGGGCUCAACUCUGGGCGUGCGGUCGAUACGGGCAUCACUGGAGUUCGGCAGGGGAGACUGGAAUUCCUGGUGUAGCGGUGAAAUGCGCAGACAUCAGGAGGAACACCGGUGGCGAAGGCGGGUCUCUGGGCCGAUACUGACGCUGAGAGACGAAAGCUAGGGGAGCGAAUGGG
rnacentral:rRNA from 1 species